rnacentral:rRNA from 1 species
AGGCCUAACACAUGCAAGUCGAACGGUAGCACAGAGAGCUGCCCUCGGGUGAUGAGUGGCGGACGGGUGAGUAAUGUCUGGGAAACUGCCUGAUGGAGGGGGAUAACUACUGGAAACGGUAGCUAAUACCGCAUAACGUCGCAAGACCAAAGAGGGGGACCUUCGGGCCUCUUGCCAUCAGAUGUGCCCAGAUGGGAUUAGCUAGUAGGUGGGGUAAUGGCUCACCUAGGCGACGAUCCCUAGCUGGUCUGAGAGGAUGACCAGCCACACUGGAACUGAGACACGGUCCAGACUCCUACGGGAGGCAGCAGUGGGGAAUAUUGCACAAUGGGCGCAAGCCUGAUGCAGCCAUGCCGCGUGUGUGAAGAAGGCCUUCGGGUUGUAAAGCACUUUCAGCGAGGAGGAAGGUGGUGAA